AUGCUCCCUUCGGCAGCACAUAUACUAAAAUGGAACAAUAUAAAGAUUAGCAUGACCUCUGCGCAGGGAUGACGUGCGAAUCCGUGAAGAGUUCCAUAUUUUU
ensembl:snRNA U6 U6 spliceosomal RNA